rnacentral:rRNA from 1 species
GUAGUCCGAACCGUAAACGAUGGAUACUAGGUGUUUGGGAAAUUAACCUCCUGAGUACUAAAGCUAACGCAGUAAGUAUCCCGCCUGGGGAGUACGGUCGCAAGGCUAAAACUCAAAGAAAUUGACGGGGGCCCGCACAAGCGGUGGAGUAUGUGGUUUAAUUCGAAGCAACGCGCAGAACCUUACCUACCCUUAACAUCCCAAGACGUAUGCAGAGAUGUAUGCUUCCCUUCGGGGACUUGGAGAUAGGUGCUGCAUGGCUGUCGUCAGCUCGUGUCGUAAGAUGUCUGGUUAAGUCCAAUAACGAGCGCAACCCUUGUCCUUAGUUACCAUCAUUAAGUUGGGGACUCUGAGGAGACUGCCGGUGUUAAACCGGA